GCAGCGUCAUAACUCAGUGGGAAAACAUCCUGCUGCUCCCGUGAUGAAGCCAGCAAAAUCCAUAGUUGUAUCCCUUACCAAGAACCAAGGAACACCAUGCUAUUUGACCACCAGCAGCAGUAGGAGACAAACUUCAUUAUACUUCAUCUUGAAUGAGGCAUUUUCUCAUAGCAACACGGAACAGAGAAAGUUGUCCCCAGCCUAUGGAUUCCAGCUGCUUCAGCUGCCCUGAACCUUGAUCUCUGCUUCCUCAGCUCAGCAGGACUGCUGUGCUCAGCUCAGACUCAAGCUGACUACACUGCAAUCAGGAAACUCCGCUGGAAGAGAGCCAAGGCCAGCCUGACCAAGCUCAUCUCGAGAGUUUUCCCUCCUUUGAGCUGGAUAUUUUGUGCUGCCUGUUGACCAGCUCCUGAAAACAGUUGUCUCAUACAUGUUGUCACUUUGUGGUUGUUUACUGUGAAAGGUCAGUCUGUUAUCAGUUACAGGCAGCCUUGUAAGUCCUCCCCCGAAACAUUCCCAUCUGAUGCAUGUUCACUUUUUAAAAAAGAGAUCGGUUUAGAUAAUCUAAAUAAAAGUGAUUUUUA
rnacentral:lncRNA from 1 species